GAAUUCAGAUAAACUCCGAAUGCCAUGUACUUAUACUCGGGAGUCAGACUGCGAGUGAUAAGAUCCGUAGUCGAAAGGGAAACAGCCCAGACCACCAGUUAAGGUCCCCAAAUAUAUGUUAAGUGGAAAAGGAUGUGGGGUUGCUUAGACAACCAGGAUGUUGGCUUAGAAGCAGCCACCAUUGAAAGAGUGCGUAAUAGCUCACUGGUCGAGUGACCCCGCGCCGAAAAUGUACCGGGGCUAAACAUAUUACCGAAACUGUGGAUGAACCUCUUUAGAGGUUCGUGGUAGGAGAGCGUUCUAAGGGCGGUGAAGUCAGACCGGAAGGACUGGUGGAGCGCUUAGAAGUGAGAAUGCCGGUAUGAGUAGCGAAAGAAGGGUGAGAAUCCCUUCCACCGAAUAUCUAAGGUUUCCUGAGGAAGGCUCGUCCGCUCAGGGUUAGUCGGGACCUAAGCCGAGGCCGAUAGGCGUAGGCGAUGGACAACAGGUAGAGAUUCCUGUACCAGUGCUAAUUGUUUAACCGAUGGGGUGACACAGAAGGAUAGGGAAUCGCACGAAUGGAAAUGUGCGUCCAAGCAGUGAGUGUGAGAAGUAGGCAAAUCCGCUUCUCGCGAAGCAUGAGCUGUGAUGGGGAAGGAAAUUAAGUACGGAAGUUCCUGAUUUCACGCUGUCAAGAAAAGCCUCUAGGAAGAGUAGUACUGCCCGUACCGCAAACCGACACAGGUAGAUGAGGAGAGAAUCCUAAGGUGAGCGAGAGAACUCUCGUUAAGGAACUCGGCAAAAUGACCCCGUAACUUCGGGAGAAGGGGUGCUCUAUUAGGGUGCAAGCCCGAGAGAGCCGCAGUGAAUAGGCCCAGGCGACUGUUUAGCAAAAACACAGGUCUCUGCAAAACCGUAAGGUGACGUAUAGGGGCUGACGCCUGCCCGGUGCUGGAAGGUUAAGAGGAGUGCUUAGCUUCGGCGAAGGUACGAAUUGAAGCCCCAGUAAACGGCGGCCGUAACUAUAACGGUCCUAAGGUAGCGAAAUUCCUUGUCGGGUAAGUUCCGACCCGCACGAAAGGCGCAACGAUCUGGGCACUGUCUCAACGAGAGACUCGGUGAAAUUAUAGUACCUGUGAAGAUGCAGGUUACCCGCGACAGGACGGAAAGACCCCGUGGAGCUUUACUGCAACCUGAUAUGGAAUGUUUGUACCGCUUGUACAGGAUAGGUAGGAGCCGAAGAGACGUGUGCGCUAGCAUACGAGGAGGCAAUGGUGGGAUACUACCCUGGCUGUAUGACCAUUCUAACCCGCCACGCUUAGCGCGUGGGGAGACAGUGUCAGGUGGGCAGUUUGACUGGGGCGGUCGCCUCCUAAAGAGUAACGGAGGCGCCCAAAGGUUCCCUCAGAAUGGAUGGAAAUCAUUCGCAGAGUGUAAAGGCACAAGGGAGCUUGACUGCGAGACUGACAAGUCGAGCAGGGACGAAAGUCGGGCUUAGUGAUCCGGUGGUUCCGCAUGGAAGGGCCAUCGCUCAACGGAUAAAAGCUACCCCGGGGAUAACAGGCUUAUCUCCCCCAAGAGUCCACAUCGACGGGGAGGUUUGGCACCUCGAUGUCGGCUCGUCGCAUCCUGGGGCUGUAGUCGGUCCCAAGGGUUGGGCUGUUCGCCCAUUAAAGCGGCACGCGAGCUGGGUUCAGAACGUCGUGAGACAGUUCGGUCCCUAUCCGUCGCGGGCGCAGGAAAUUUGAGAGGAGCUGUCCUUAGUACGAGAGGACCGGGAUGGACACACCGCUGGUGUACCAGUUGUUCCGCCAGGAGCAUCGCUGGGUAGCUAUGUGUGGCAGGGAUAAACGCUGAAAGCAUCUAAGCGUGAAGCCCCCCUCAAGAUGAGAUUUCCCAUUUCUUCGGAAAGUAAGAUCCCUGAAAGAUGAUCAGGUAGAUAGGUU
rnacentral:rRNA from 1 species